rnacentral:lncRNA from 1 species
CCACCCCUUAGUUCACCUCUUUCUACGCACUGAGCUCACUGGAAUUGAAACAAAUGGCAUCCGGCCUCCACAGCAGCAGUUCCUGAAGGAGAAGGUAAUAUUCCCAAGGAAAAUGAGCUCACAAACCAAAAUAACAUGACAAUUGUGGAACAGACGUUUCAAUAGAAAGGUCUUAUCUUUUGGGUCCAGAGGCCAAGCUGCAUGGAGAGCAGGAUCUGAGGCUUUGUGGAAACAAGGAGAAAGGGGACUGAUCCCAUUACCCAGCAAGCAGCCGAUGUCAGUGAAUUCUGAGGGAGGCAUUUUAUUCACUCCCGCGAUGGUCAGUGCGCAGUCCGUGAUGCUGGAAACUACAGGGUGGAUGCGGGAAAUGACCAAGCAGCAGCCAGAAAACCCGUCGACAGCAAGCUUCAUCAGGUGCGCUUCCAAUGAUGACCACUAGAGGGCAGAAAAGGCCUGCCAAAAGCGCACAGAUGGCUCGGGAAAGGGGCGCGUCCCGGGAGGACCCAAAGCCAGAGCCUAAGUCCCUGCCAGA